UUGAUACUGCAGAUUGGCUC
rnacentral:miRNA from 1 species